rnacentral:rRNA from 1 species
CGCUGGCGGCGUGCCUAAUACAUGCAAGUCGAGCGGAUCUUCAUUAGCUUGCUUUUGAAGAUCAGCGGCGGACGGGUGAGUAACACGUGGGCAACCUGCCUGUAAGACUGGGAUAACUUCGGGAAACCGGAGCUAAUACCGGAUAAUCCUUUCCCUCUCAUGAGGGAAAGCUGAAAGACGGUUUCGGCUGUCACUUACAGAUGGGCCCGCGGCGCAUUAGCUAGUUGGUGAGGUAACGGCUCACCAAGGCGACGAUGCGUAGCCGACCUGAGAGGGUGAUCGGCCACACUGGGACUGAGACACGGCCCAGACUCCUACGGGAGGCAGCAGUAGGGAAUCUUCCGCAAUGGACGAAAGUCUGACGGAGCAACGCCGCGUGAGCGAUGAAGGCCUUCGGGUCGUAAAGCUCUGUUGUCAGGGAAGAACAAGUAUCGGAGUAACUGCCGGUACCUUGACGGUACCUGACCAGAAAGCCACGGCUAACUACGUGCCAGCAGCCGCGGUAAUACGUAGGUGGCAAGCGUUGUCCGGAAUUAUUGGGCGUAAAGCGCGCGCAGGCGGUUCCUUAAGUCUGAUGUGAAAGCCCCCGGCUCAACCGGGGAGGGUCAUUGGAAACUGGGGAACUUGAGUGCAGAAGAGGAGAGCGGAAUUCCACGUGUAGCGGUGAAAUGCGUAGAGAUGUGGAGGAACACCAGUGGCGAAGGCGGCUCUCUGGUCUGUAACUGACGCUGAGGCGCGAAAGCGUGGGGAGCGAACAGGAUUAGAUACCCUGGUAGUCCACGCCGUAAACGAUGAGUGCUAAGUGUUAGAGGGUUUCCGCCCUUUAGUGCUGCAGCAAACGCAUUAAGCACUCCGCCUGGGGAGUACGGCCGCAAGGCUGAAACUCAAAGGAAUUGACGGGGGCCCGCACAAGCGGUGGAGCAUGUGGUUUAAUUCGAAGCAACGCGAAGAACCUUACCAGGUCUUGACAUCCUCUGACAACCCUAGAGAUAGGGCGUUCCCCUUCGGGGGACAGAGUGACAGGUGGUGCAUGGUUGUCGUCAGCUCGUGUCGUGAGAUGUUGGGUUAA